GCACUCGAGCAUGGCCGCGGCUGCGGCGGGAGGAGCCCCGGGUCCGGCCCCCGGCCCCUCCAGGCCCGCGCCGGCCGCCCGGAACCCGCCGGCCGUGCCGCGGAGGCGCGGGGACUCCCGGCGCCGUCAGGCCGCCCUCUUCUUUCUCAACAACAUCUCCCUGGACGGACGGCCCCCGAGCCUGGGUCCCGGAGGCGAGAAGCCAGCGCCGCCGCCGCCACCGCCCACCGAGGCCCGCGAGGCGCCCGCGCCGCCGCCCGCUCCACCUGGAGGCCUCCCGGGGCUGCCAGCCAGGCCCGCGCCCCAGGGCCUGCUCAGCCCCACGACGGCGCCCGCCGGCCUUGGCCUGGACGGGCAGCGCCAAAGGAGACGAGUCACAUCUCAGCGCUGUUCCCUUGAGUUUCUGGAAGACACAGUGGGAUGUGCCUCGGUGCAGAGAACCAAGCAUGCAUCUGGAUCACCAAGACACAAAGGCCUGAAGAAAACCCACUUCAUCAAGAACAUGAGGCAGUAUGACACAAAGAACAGCAGGAUUGUACUCAUCUGUGCCAAGCGGUCCCUGUGUGCGGCCUUCUCAGUCCUGCCCUAUGGAGAAGGCCUACGGAUCAGGUAAGAAACUGCCCAUGCUGCGAACACGGUGACCUGAGGGUGGACAGCCAGAAGCAGAGGCACCCAUCCGGCGGCGUUUCUGUUUCUUCUGAGAUGGUCUUUGAAUUGGAAGGCGUUGAGCUGGGAGCAGAUGGAAAGGUCGUGUCUUAUGCAAAGUUCCUGUACCCUACUAAUGCUCUGGUUAUACACAAGAAUGACAGCCAUGGCUUGCUGCCCCAGCCUCGGCCCAGCAUCCCCAGGGCUCCACCAGGUUCAAGACACAAACCUGUGCCUACCAAGUCAACACCAGCUGGCACAGAACUAGGAAGCGACGGGGGAGAUGCAGUGGAAUACAAUCCCAACCUCCUGGACGACCCACAGUGGCCGUGUGGAAAACAUAAGCGUGUACUCAUCUUUGCUUCAUACAUGACCACCGUUAUAGAGUAUGUGAAACCUGCAGACCUCAAGAAGGAUAUGAAUGAGACCUUCAGGGAAAAGUUCCCUCAUAUCAAACUGACAUUGAGCAAAAUUAGGAGUUUAAAACGGGAGAUGCGGAACCUUUCUGAAGAGUGCAGCUUGGAGCCUGUGACCGUGUCCAUGGCAUAUGUGUACUUUGAGAAGCUCGUACUGCAGGGCAAGCUCAACAAACAGAACCGCAAACUGUGUGCUGGAGCCUGUGUUCUGUUGGCUGCCAAGAUCAGCAGUGACCUCCGCAAGAGUGAAGUGAAGCAGCUUAUUGACAAGCUGGAGGAAAGGUUCCGGUUCAACAGGAAAGACCUCAUUGGCUUUGAGUUCACGGUGCUCGUGGCUUUGGAACUGGCCCUGUACCUCCCAGAGAACCAAGUGUUACCUCACUACAGACGCCUCACCCAGCAGUUCUAGCCCAAACAGUGCACCCCAGAGGGAGGCUGCUUUGGCAGGAAGGCUGAGUAGCUUGGCUAGAGGACUAGUGUUCCUGUCCCUCCUCCAGUAACUGCACUUGCCCCUCACAACCCACGGCAGCUUGGCUUCCUUGGAAAGUUUUUAAUUUUGGGGCAGAGCACGCCUUGACCUCGAGACGCUCCCUGUUGAGGGUUUUCCUGAAGCAAGUGAACAGUGUGGGGCUUGGUUUGUUCUUCGUGUGGCGAGACCAGCCUGGCUUAUGUUGUGAAUCCUGAGGGCCAGCCUUCCUUCUGCCUACCCAUGAAACCAUUCCUGUAGAGACCUAGGUGUCCAGACCUUCUGAACUUGCUACAAUUGUCAGGCUUCUGUCUUCUGGUGCCUCCACCCAGGCAGUUCCCCAUCAGCACUAUUUUAUCUUUGGUCAAGAUACAGGAUAGGGCAGACACCUUGAUUCUGAGUCUGCUCUCACUGCACCUUGUUAAAGCAUCUGCCACUGUGAAACCCGUGUCACAUGCACAGCAGUGCUUUGGCCAACCCCUGCUGCCUCCUGCCAGCACAGCUUUUCCCUGUCACUGGACAACCACUGACUGUGGGCUCUUGACUUUCCUAAGCAAUAUCGUGAUGGAGAAAAGUCAUUAUAACUUGAGAUUUGGUCUCUAUGGGAACAGACAAUGGCCCAUUCAGGCCUGCUGCUGACUUUGAACCACACUUGAUCCUCAAGCAGGAAGGCACCGAUCCUGCUACCUACUGUCAAUGACUACAUGUCAUCAGGCCAAGUUGCCCUGUGCCACUGUCAUCACUCAAGAGCUAUCCUCCACCUCCCCAGGCCUGUUAUCCUUCCCUAGAAACUGGUCACCAGCCUGGCAGACGCCAGCCACCGCUUGGUUCCAGUCUCAUGUCCCAGAGAUGCUCGUCCUCAAGCCUGACACCGACCACCUAGGUCUAUCGGAUCAGUAACAGCUCAGACAGGAGCUCAAAGGAUAGUAAAUACGUUUUAGCCUGUCCAUGCUUAUGCUGGUGUAAGCAUGCCACGUUCUCAGAGCAUCUUUAGGUGCAAUAAGUCGUUCCUGCAAACAGGUUAUCUUCAGGGCAGCCCCAUCAUUUUUUUUUUAAAUGAACUUAGAUAUAUAUGGCUGACUGAUGGGAUAAAUGUUAUUUAAGCUUCUAGAUGUAGUAAGGUGUAUUCAUUUUACCAAGCUGGUCUGCUGUUAGUCCUUCCUAAGCUUCGCUAAGAGCUGCUGGUUUGUGGUAUUGAGCACUGUUAAAGCCAACCCUUAAACCAAACACGGGCUAAACAGAGUCCUAUAGACUGAGUCCAGAAAUCUGAGGUAUAUCCAUGGUGUCCAGCUGGACUGUGACCCAAUGCCACAGACCUGGUGCUGCACCCGCAGCGCUCAACAGGACACAGCUGUGUCAGACCUCAGAAUGUGGUGUAUGUCCAGUAGGUUAUGAAUGGAAGGUGUUAAAAUGUUUUUGUUAAAGUAAAACUGGUUUUUGCAACAUA